rnacentral:rRNA from 1 species
UACAGAGGGGGCAAGCGUUGUUCGGAAUUACUGGGCGUAAAGAGCGCGUAGGCGGCCCGAUAAGUCCGCUGUAAAAGUCCAGGGCUCAACCCUGGAAAGCCGGUGGAUACUGUCGGGCUAGAGUCCGGAAGAGGCGAGUGGAAUUCCUGGUGUAGCGGUGGAAUGCGCAGAUAUCAGGAGGAACACCGGUGGCGAAGGCGGGUCUCUGGGCCGAUACUGACGCUGAGGAGCGAAAGCGUGGGGAGCGAACAGG